CUGCCCUUCACUCUGGGACAAGCCCUGGAAACGGGGUCUAAUACCGGAUAACACUUCUGCUCUCAUGGGCAGGGGUUAAAAGCUCCGGCGGUGAAGGAUGAGCCCGCGGCCUAUCAGCUUGUUGGUGAGGUAAUGGCUCACCAAGGCGACGACGGGUAGCCGGCCUGAGAGGGCGACCGGCCACACUGGGACUGAGACACGGCCAGACUCCUACGGGAGGCAGCAGUGGGGAAUAUUGCACAAUGGGCGAAAGCCUGAUGCAGCGACGCCGCGUGAGGGAUGACGGCCUUCGGGUUGUAAACCUCUUUCAGCAGGGAAGAAGCGAAAGUGACGGUACCUGCAGAAGAAGCGCCGGCUAACUACGUGCCAGCAGCCGCGGUAAUACGUAGGGCGCAAGCGUUGUCCGGAAUUAUUGGGCGUAAAGAGCUCGUAGGCGGCUUGUCACGUCGGGUGUGAAAGCCCGGGGCUUAACCCCGGGUCUGCAUUCGAUACGGGCUAGCUAGAGUGUGGUAGGGGAGAUCGGAAUUCCUGGUGUAGCGGUGAAAUGCGCAGAUAUCAGGAGGAACACCGGUGGCGAAGGCGGAUCUCUGGGCCAUUACUGACGCUGAGGAGCGAAAGCGUGGGGAGCGAACAGGAUUAGAUACCCUGGUAGUCCACGCCGUAAACGGUGG
rnacentral:rRNA from 1 species